UCAACUUGCCCUUUCUACCGAAUCUAAGGACUUUCCUCCAUGUGGACACCUUCAAAAACACCUUAUCGCCAACUUGAAAUUUGAUCUCUUUUAAUUUCAAAUCUACAUAGGAUUUCUAUCUAUCUGAUGCGGGCUUUAUACAAUCACGAAUCACUUUAAUCUUUUCUUUAGUUUCUCUGGCUAAGUGACCCCGUGAUCUGAUU
rnacentral:lncRNA from 1 species